GAACAAGAUUUCUGCACAGAGAUUUUCCUUGGUCAAGAGUGCAACCAGCCACAUGAGCUGCUGUGGAUAUGAACUUUACUGUCAAAUGUACAUUGAUUGGAAAGUGAGCAAGAUAUCUGCACUGAGAAUGAAUGAAGUUGAAAGGCACCCCAGAAGAACCUGAAUUAUUUUAGCCCUAUCCUAGAUUCAUUAAUUAAUAUAUUUUAGUGUGUGAUAACAUGUGUGAAAUGUGAUCAAUUAUGUGACAAUUUUCAAAACU
rnacentral:lncRNA from 1 species